rnacentral:pre_miRNA from 1 species
AGAAGGAUAGCUGGGUCAAAUGGUGGUUCCAAGAUCAUAUGAUUCCAUAUUUCCAAGGAAUCUCCAUAUUGCUUUCCAAAUUGGCUGCACCAAUUUGCAGUCCCACCAGCAAU